ACUUAUUUUGUAAACAUUAUUUACUGAGCAUGAUCGAACAGCUAGACUGGAGAGGCUGCUGCAAGUCUCCUCCCUCUGCCUCCAGCCACUCCGCACUACCCGUCCUUGCUGGUGUCUGGAAUCAGCGGGGCCCUGGCAGAGUGCACAGGAAAGGAAAUGGCUCAUUGCUUCAGCCUUUACACCCGAGGGCAGGGAGGGCCUGUCGGGCAGCCGCCUAGUCAGGGGUGUGUCAGAGGCCAGAGGGGCCGGGGCCCAGCAGCUGGGGCUUGGUAAGCUCUAGAGCCUGGGCUCCAGGCCAGCUUGCUGCUAACCUCCACCUGAGACCACCCCACCCCCAACCCCUUCCUUCUCUCCCCUGCUGCGGAGGCGCGCCCUUCCGGAGUGAAACUUGGUUUGGUUUCUCACGACCCAGAAGGCUUGAAGCAAACCUGCAAUUACUCACCGCCUGGUCUGUGCCGGCUGCAGCUCUCAGACUCUGGAUGAGGUGGCGGUGGCGCUGUCGACCUGACUCCUUGGCUUGUUCCGGCUGUGCAACCUCAGUUUCUCCUCCACGAUGGCUGCCCUCAUCUGCUCAUCCUCACUUGGCCUUCAGCAGUGCUCAGCUGACAUAGAUGAGGGAAUAGGAGUGACUCGUCAUCACAGUCGCCGUGUACUCGAGACAGACGCUCAGGUGGAAGCCAGUUCCCAUAGGACUCACAGCGGGAGACACAGCGGAGCGUCCAGUGCUUCCUCGGCUAGCCGUGUCCCACGAUGGCAGAGAUGGGAUCUUUCUCCGUCACCCAGGUUGGAGUGCAAUGGUUAUUCACAGGUGUGAUCAUAGCUGGUCUUGACCUCCGUGGGCUCAAGUGAUCCUCCUGCCUCAGCCUCCUGAAUAGCUGGAACUACAGGUGCGUGCCACCACACUUGGCUUACCAUUAUUUUAGAAGGACUUAUACCUGUCUUGCCAUCUGGAGUCUGCAGAUUUCUUGCCUGAGGUAAGCUCAAGCAGGGCCUGUUGUCUGGAACAAGACCUGUUCAAAAUGUUUGCCUUAAUGCUACAGUAGUAAUGGUGAUAGUCAAUAAUAGCUUGCUGUGGGUCAGGUACUGUUCUGAGAACAGAAGUUCUCAAAGGAGUCUUGGACUCUGAGGAUGGCUGAAACACUUUGGGGUGGGGGUGUCCACAAGACCAAACUAUUAUUAUCUGAGACAGAGUCUUGCUCUGUUGCCCAGGCUGGAGUGCAAUGGCACGAUCUUGGCUCACUGCAACUUCCGCCUCCUGGGUUCAAGUGAUUCUC